AUAAGAUUUUAAAAUUGGAUAACGUGCUUUGAUGUGAUUGCUAGCAACAAUUGGGGUGCUUUAUCUUGUUUAGGCUAUAUAAAUGUGGUAAUGCAAUCAUUACUGAGAAAGAGAAAUGAGGAAGAUACACAGUUUCCUCUGACUUGGACAGUAGUCAGAGAAACCCAAAUUUUAAAUUUAGAACUACUGUUAGAGAAAACUGAUUAUUUCAGAAGAGGAAUGUUUGUGGUCUGUUUUCUUUUCAGGAAAUGGCAAACUGAAUUUUCAGAAAAAAUCCUACCAUCUCCUAUCUAUAGAGCAAUCUGGCAUCAUUUCUUCAUCAUACAACGAUCUAAACUCACACUUUUUGUAUCCAUUAGAAAUAAUGCAGAGUUAGAAUGUAAUGCUUCCAGUAUCAAGACAUAUUAGUAGUUAUUUGUUAAUGAGUGACUAUCACAGUGCCUGAAAUAUAGUCUUAAUAAGUGGUUAUUAAACUGAAAAAUGAAAGCAAGCAUCUCUUAUUAUGUGAUAGAAAAAGUUUCCUUUUGCAUUGAUGUGUAUUAUAUUUAGAUAUUUCUGAACAGAUCAUUCUCCACUACUAGGUGAUAAACUCCUGUUUGGGUAAAAGCCCAUUAAAGUGAACCAAGAGCUGGUUAAGAAUAUAUAUAAAUUAAUUAUAGUACAGGUUAUAUUUUUGUGACAUUUGGUAAAAAUUAAAAUUAAAACUUGUCAGUGCCUUUUCUAAAAGCAACUUUCUCAAAAUCUGAUUAAAGUAGUCAAAAUAACAUUUGAAAAGAUGUUUGAAUAAUGGAAGUAUAUAGCCCAUUAAAUUUCUGGAUCCCCAUCCAUUCAGUUAACAAGUAUUAUCUGCAAUGCUAGGCAUCAUAUGGGAAGCAUUACUGCACAAGUCACACAAUGCCUCUGGCCCUUCCAUUAUGCCCUGCGACCAGAGGCCACAAAUAAUCUCCCUAUAGGAAAUGUAGGGGACAGCACAAAAGACAGCAGAUUCCUGAUGUUAUCAUUGAAACAACAGCAUCAGCUAAAAUUCGGUGAAUCUGUGCUAGGUGCUUUUCCCCUGUGCUGUCUCAUACACCGCCAUGAGGUGGGUACUAGCUCAUGUGGAAACUAGAACUUAGUGCAAACAGACACAGAGUUCCAGAUCUCCCGAGGGCCGUGAAGCUCCCAAGUUCUCUGGAACCCAUGCUCCUAACCACAAGCUUCUACUGCCCUGGUUGCCUAACAGAGAAGAGAUCUGGUGUCUGUUUCGUCAAACUGCCCAGUCUUGUGGUUGUUCUCUGCAAGGCGAGAGAUUUUUUUUUUUUUACAGUGACAGAAAUUCAUUGCACUGAGAACUUGAUAAACCUUCCUAAAAUUGUUUCUUCCUUUUACAUAUCUAAUCUGUGUGUGUGCAUGUGCGUGCGUGCGUGCGUGCGUGCGUGUGUGUGUGUGUGUGUGUGUGUGUGUGUAGGAGGCAAUGCAUACUUAUUUGGAAACAUUGAUUAAGAAGAAGAGAGUGCCUGUGCCCAUGCUUUCAUUUUCUUCCUCCUGUUCAGGGGAUUGUGAAUGGCCAUGCAAGAGACGCAAAGAUCCCUUGGAGCAGGAGGAAAGCAUGUGAACGGAGAAGAGCUGGCUCCAGGACACCAUUUUUAUAGUGGAUUCCUCCCGACGGUUAAAUACAUCCGUUAAGGUCACUCAAGGACCUUCACAGUGCCUGGGUCUUUGGGACAUUUUUAAUGCUGCCUGUUCCUAGGCAUGCACAAUUCUGAGGAGACACAUACAGAGGUACACAUCUGUCUUUAAUUUGUUUACACUUCUUACUUUUUAUUUUAUUAUCUAGAAUGUUAUUCUUUAAUACAGUGAACUCAAGAUCGACAUCUUGGAGAGGCCAGAGAAGAGACUGAAUAAAGAUUUUUAGAAUUUCCAUUUUCCUUACCUAGCCUGGGAAGCUUCAUGGUUACAUGGAGUUCUUAACUUUUGAAAUAAUGCAUCCUCUGGAUUAUUUUAAUGUAUUUUUCUUUACUAAAUCAGCAGCUGGGCAAGACAUUUUUAAGAUUAUCUUUUCCUGUCCCUCGUUCCUCCUUUUGCCCUGGAAGUGUCUGCCAAGGGAGCUGUGGUCAGAAAACAUCUAUCUGUACAUUCUCAACGGUGUAUCAUUCUGAAAAAGUCUAGCUCUGAGAUGUUUACUUACAUCCUCUGAGUGGACGCCUCCUGGGAGAAAUAAUGAAAAUGUGUCAUGAAGCAGGAUCUGUUUUCAAGCUAUUCUUUAUUUAUAGUAGAAUCACCAGAUUCCAUUUAAGUGAAAAAGAUACUUGUACACUCUUAUUAUCUGUUAUUCUUUGGUUUCUCUAGCAGCUUAAAGAUGGAGCCCCUUAUCAUUAACUCUCUGCUAUUCAUUGCAUUAUGCACCUGGUUUGGAGGAAUAAACUGACAAUAAUAAAAGCAGGUCCAAAUUAGGGUAAAGGAAAAAUGGUGUGGGCUAAAGAUAGUUUGUAUUCUUGCUACAUCCUUUGUUCCUAGCAAACAAAACACAUACGUGCACAUUAUAUGUGGCCACUAGGUGUCAGUGGUGUUCCAUGACAUUUUCUUACCUAAGAAACAAGACAGACUUCUAGGACCUGGAAAUGAAAGAGGGAAAAUGCUGAGAUUCUCUUUACGCCAUUUAUUCUUCUGCCCCCUGAAAGCUCCGCUCUCAUCAGAUAUUUUCACUUGGUUUAAACUGUGAAUAGCAUUUUAGUGAUCUUUUUUCUUUCCAAGCUGCUUAAAAUCAAUCAGUGCACACAUAAGAGAACAUAGGCUAAAUUGUAUAGUACCUGUAAAAUAGCGAAUCUAGCUUUGAAGGCGUGUAUUUAUUUUGUUGAAAUAAAAUACUAGUUAUCUUUCACGCAGAUACAACACAGAAACCAUUGGAGUUAUAAGACAGUUGCAAUUUUGCCUACUAUUAUGAACUGAGAUCUAUGAAAGUCAAGAUGCAAUUCGGCAUAUGAAUAAUUUUUAAUUCUACUUUGUUAUUGUGUGAUCUCAUCAUAAAGACAUUACAUCUGUCAUUCCAAAUUGUUCAGAUCCAUUUGUCUCUAAAUAACACUAAUAAAAUCAUGUUCAAAUUUAACAGCCUUUGCAUAUCAUUAAGUGUAUAAUGGCCUCUAAUCUAUUUUUCUUCUGUUUAUAAUUUUCUAAAGCCUUUUGUGAAGCACCAAUAGAUUUUUACACAUUAGAAAAAGAAGCUAAGAUUCCUCACAUCACAUUGCAAUUAGCUGUUCACAAAGCAGAUCAUCUACACAUCCAUUAGAAGAACGAACUAGAGAAAUCUCCAUAUUGUUCAGUGCUAGAUCUUGAAUAAAAAUCUCCUUAACUAGGAAAUGUGCAUUCAGUUUCAAAUCCAAUGCAAUCAAGAAAACUUACUCCAUAGUGACCUACCUAGAUAUUAGACUGAACUUACAAACAUUCAUCUGACACAAUUCCUCUCAAAAUGCUCUAAACUUUUUAGCCCUAUCUCCAAAAUUUAUUGGCACCAAAGCAUUAUUUAGCCUGGAAACUUUGAUGGGAAAUUUGGAAAGAACUGUUGUUUUAGCCUCACUCUCGAAAAGAUUUAAGAAUAUUCUCACCAGUUAUCAUAACUGUUUCCUGAAUGAAUAAAUAAUAUGUUAAUUUAGUAGACUGUACUAAGAAUGGUGCUGUUUCAACAGCCUGGGGUCUUAUUUCAGAAACCCUGGAGCUAUUUGUAUUUUCAGUUGAAACAUUUUCAACAUUAUGUGAGCAAAUAAAAUUAAAGGGAACGAAUCUCCCUUCAGGAGAGCCUUUAUUAAUCUUUCUUACCUUUACUAAAGUAAAACAGAAGAGGUAGACAUUAUCAAUGACCCUUUUGCACAUCUUAAACUGGGAAUAAUAGGAAUUGUCAUGUUGAUUUCCAGCCAUUAUUUCUUAUUCAUGAAAAAUGUUCUUAAGCUGCUUUUCCCCUAAACUUUUCAUAUUAUGUUGAUAAAUGAACUUAAUUUAGUCGCAGGCUACACAGCAGCAUCAAUCUCUAUUGACAGCCUAUGCUACAAAAAAUACCCCAGCUGCAUUUUCUUCAUCAACCUAACUGCAACUCCUAAGCCAUAUGCCACCAGGGUAUAGGAGAUUCCAUCCCAGCCCUUACUGAGCUCUCUUCCUCUUUGGGGUUCACACAGAGUCACAGAGGUUUACUGUUUGUUUUACUGACUGUUACAGUUACUGCCAACACUGAUAUUGCCAAGUUUUAUUGGUCCUUGAAUCCCCAUGGUUCUUUGCUCUCUCGGUGAAUAUCAUGGGGUACAGCAUUUAUUAUUAUUAAGACAGGAUAGGAGCCCAGCAACCUGUGCAUUAGGCAGACAUUCUUCAAAACAUUCUGUCCCCCAGAGCUGCUCUUUUUGAGGAUGCCUAACUUAUCGAUCAUGAGGUUCUUGACUUCAGCAAUGGAAUGUGCACAUUAAUGAACCAACCAAAGCAAUCUAACCUUCUGGCCACAGAUAUUGGUUCAGUGGUGGGUACCCAAGUUAACUUGCUUAUAUAUUGGAACAAAGGCUUUUUCUAUGGCUUCUGAUGAUGUGCCAUGCAAGUGCAAUGCCCAAAACCUUUGUUAUUAUGAAAUAGUCAACACAUGGAAGAAAGAAGACCUUACAGAAUCACAGAAUAAUUAAUUACAUGGGGAAUCUCCACAAAUUGUGGUUGUUGCACAAAAUAAAUCUCUUGAUAUUUUAAUGUAAUCUAAGACAUACUCUUUUGUUCUUGAACUCUGAAGGGUCCUAGCAGAGUCUGAGACGUGGAAGUAGCAGUGAUGUUAUAAACUCUCUUUGUUGAUAAGGAGAGCAGUGAGGACAUCUCCAGCUUAUGAAGUUAGCACCCCUCUUUAAGCAGUGGCAAAAAUCCCCAAUUAAGCUCUGGCCUGCUGUAUUCACGGAUGCAGACAAUGUCUGCUAAGACUCUUCCCUCAGGGAGUUAUGAGGAAGAAAUCAAGAGGUUUUUGGUUUCUUCUUACUGCCUUUAAUAAAUAAUAACAACAUAACUUUUGUGAGACCUUUCCGGGUAUGCUUUCAAAGCCACAAAAUACUGCU